rnacentral:rRNA from 3 species
CACAUGACUCUCGGCAACGGAUAUCUCGGCUCUCGCAUCGAUGAAGAACGUAGCAAAAUGCGAUACCUGGUGUGAAUUGCAGAA